GUGCUUGUUUCAACAGCACAUAUGCUAAAAUUGAAAGGAUACAGAGAUUAGCAUGGCCCCUGUACAAGGAUGACACACAAAUUCAUGAAGCAUUCCAUACUUUU
rnacentral:snRNA from 1 species